AUGAACGCUGGCGGCGUGUCUAAGGCAUGCAAGUCGAAUGGGUUUAGACCCAUGGCAAACGGGUGCGUAACACAUUGGUAACCUACCUCGAAGUUCGGCAUAACCCCUCGAAAGAGGGGCUAAUACCGGAUGUGAUCCCGCAAUUAUUUUGCGGGAUGAAAGAUUUAUCGCUUUGAGAGGGGCCUAUGGCCUAUCAGCUAGUUGGUGAGGUAAUAGCUCACCAAGGCUACGACGGGUAGCGGGCGUGAGAGCGCGACCCGCCUCACUGGGACUGAGACACUGCCCAGACUCCUACGGGAGGCUGCAGUCAAGAAUAUUCCCCAAUGGACGAAAGUCUGAGGGAGCGACGCCGCGUGAUUGAAGAAGCCCUUCGGGGUGUAAAAAUCUUUUAUUAGGGACGAAUCAAUGACGGUACCUAAUGAAUAAGGGGCUGCUAACUUCGU
rnacentral:rRNA from 1 species